AGUGAACGCUGGCGGUAGGCCUAACACAUGCAAGUCGAACGGCAGCACAGUAAGAGCUUGCUCUUACGGGUGGCGAGUGGCGGACGGGUGAGGAAUACAUCGGAAUCUACUUUUUCGUGGGGGAUAACGUAGGGAAACUUACGCUAAUACCGCAUACGACCUACGGGUGAAAGCAGGGGAUCUUCGGACCUUGCGCGAUUGAAUGAGCCGAUGUCGGAUUAGCUAGUUGGCGGGGUAAAGGCCCGCCAAGGCGACGAUCCGUAGCUGGUCUGAGAGGAUGAUCAGCCACACUGGAACUGAGACACGGUCCAGACUCCUACGGGAGGCAGCAGUGGGGAAUAUUGGACAAUGGGCGCAAGCCUGAUCCAGCCAUACCGCGUGGGUGAAGAAGGCCUUCGGGUUGUAAAGCCCUUUUGUUGGAAAAGAAAAGCAGCAGGUUAAUACCCCGCUGUUCUGACGGUACCCAAAGAAUAAGCACCGGCUAACUUCGUG
rnacentral:rRNA from 1 species